rnacentral:misc_RNA from 1 species
CGCACAUUGCGCCCUCUGGUAUUCCGGGGGGCACGCCUGUUCGAGCGUCAUUAAAUCAAUCAAGCCCCGCUUGGUAUUGGGUCUCUCCCGCGAGGGCGUGCCCGAAUGGCAGCGGCGCGGCCGCCGUGAGAAGAACGCAUUGGAAUGUUUCGUUCUUUGCCUCUCGACGUCCGUCGCCGACGAUUUUAUUUCUCUGAAAUUGACCUCGGAUCAGGCGAGAUUACCCGCUGAACUUAA